GGGGCCAGAGCGCUGGGAAGAAGCGCUCUCUGUGCCAUGUUCUGCUACUGUGGAGAAGAAUGAGACCAGAUAGAGCCUGUUUCUACUCUGGCCAGAGAUGGAGUAUGCUGGAGGCACCUCCAACCCCCAGUGCGUGGAGAUGCCUUUCCUGUUGGGUAGCUUUGGGGUCGAUGCAAACUCUCCUCCAGCCUCUGCCGAAGCCGCAAAACCUCUUCCUGCAGAGCCCGGAUUGCCUGGCUGAAGUGGGAAAGGAGAA